rnacentral:lncRNA from 1 species
AAUUUUCGCACCAAGAAUCAUUAAAUAUCUUCGUAAAGAGUUGAUUUCGGUAAUAUUUGUUGUGCGCAUCGUGUUUUACGUGAUAUUUUGGUUAUGAAACGUGUAUCAGAAUGCUGAAAUUCGUGCCUUGUCUACUGGUCCAUUCUUUAAAAAAAAAGGAGAAAAAAAACUUCGUUUAACAGUUGUAAAAAGCAUUCGCAAAUCGACAGUUGACAAUUUCCAUUUCAAUACCUUUAAGAUUCACUUAUACGUGUCUCAUGGGAGUCCUUCCAUUCGAGUGCACCGCUUUUUAUUUCACCCCACUUAGAUUAAUCUCAGUUAAUCUCGAAUUCAUUUAUUCGGUCAUUUUACCACUUUUUGAACUGACGGUUGAUAAUACGGGGCACAAAUGCCUCAUGGCGCAUCCUUUUUACGUGUCAAUGAACAUUCCAAUCAAAGGAUGAUCCGAAAGAUCUGUAUUCCUCGUUUCUAUACUUGCAGAGGCCUCGUGGAAAGUACCGUUGGUAGUAGUAAAAAAGUCGUGUGUGAUGAGUGUGGAACCGUCCGCAUAGAAACAUACGUUGUACCGGACACAGAGGUGAAAGUAAGAACUGUGUCCGUCGAGUUUAGAGCUAUCAUGCUUAUCUUAAAGAUUAAGUUUAGGAUAUUGGUGAUUUGCAAUGGCCUAAAAGGAGUUGUCAGUAAGUGGAAAAAUUGAAUUAUUUUUGCCCCCCCCCCCCCCAAAAAAAAGAAGGAAAAAAUCUAUAUACUAACUACUAGUCCGGAAGAUGUUGAAAUUAUUUACGAAAUUUCACUUUUACAGGUACUUUUUAGUAUUUCCGCCAUUAUCAGAGCCUGGUGUUACAAACAAUGACUGGGAAGGUCAAAUUAAAACUGCAAAAAAUUAACUACUACUCGUCACAAGUCGCUCUUAUAGCGCUUCUGCGCGCUCUGCGACACCCAACCGCCACUGAUAGCGAUCCUGCCAGAGCUCCUCCGGCAGAUCGCAUCUCCUCAUUUCCUGUCUUAUUCCCUCAAUCCACGAUUUGGCAGGGAGUCCUCUACACUUUCUGCCGAGGGGGGACCCAAUCCAGAACCUUCUUAGGCAACCUAAUUAGCAUUAUCAGAAAUUAGCAUUAAAAAUUAGCAUUAUCAGAAAAUCGUAUAAUAUGAAAACCCAUUGAUAAGCCUUUCAUGGUUAUUCUAAAUUCAACUUCUGAGAAAAAUUCAUGAUUCUGAGGGAAGGUAUGCACAAUCAGAAGCACACGAUUGGGCGCCCACUGAUAGGGGGGGGGGGGGAUUAUAGAGUCUUUGGGGUACCUGUUUUAAGCAAUAGGUAACGUCAAAUUAGGCAAACAAUUAGCAAAUAUCGCAUGAUUUGUUAGAAAUAUAAAACAGGAGAGGAAAUUAGGGAGUGUCUGAUCUGUCCCGCAACUAUUCCUGUUCCUUGUUCGGUUUUUUGUGUACUGGGUCAAUUGAAGGCAAACUUCAGGUUGACGUUUUUAGAACUUGAAGGUAUUGGAAGACGGUGCUCACCGGUGGCGUGGCGUGCAUGAUCGAUUAUCGAUAUUUCCCCACUUGAAUCCGUGGUAAAGAAUCGAUUAUUGAUGUGUUCGCUGCGAACACCCUGUUAAUCGAUCCUUUUCCAUUGGUUUAAAUGACAGAUCUAUCGAUAUAUCGCAAAGCACGUCACGCCACGGGUGCUCACAUUUACAGAUCGAUGGUGAAACUACAAUACUGUAUGGAUUGGAAAUCGCGAUUUUUAAGGGGGCCAAAAUAACUGCGCCCACAUAACCCAUGUUUGUCAGUAAAAUUGAAGUAAUUAUUGAGGAAAGCUAGGAUAUGAUGCUGUUUCAAAUUUUAUCAGCAUUUUGAGCAGUUUUUGAACUGUCCGAAAAUCCAGCAAAAAUACUGAGGUUCGAGUUUUUGGCAUUGAGGACUGACACUAUCCGUAUACACGCAUUGAGCCUUAAUGCUCUGAGUCGGUUUUUCGCCUAGUUCAAUGGCAUGGGUCACUUGCGCUGGUCACAGAAUUUUUGUAGAUAGGCUAAACAUAAAAAGAUCCGUCCAGACCGCGACUUUUUACAUUUAGUGAUAACCGAGUUAUCGCCCUUGGAAAAGUCGGGUUUUUGACGUCAUCCACCGCGGUAGUGACACCCUUGGUUCCUUCCACUUUGCUUUCGUCCGGGUUUCAUGUUGAGUAACCAGUGCUAGUGUGCGUCACACCGACUGAUGAAAGCAAGGGGGAAGGAACCAAGGGUGUCGCUCCCGUGGUGGAUGACGACAAAAACCAGACUUUUCAGUGGGCGAUAUCUCGGUUAAUAUUGACCGUAGAAAGUUGCGGUUUGGACGGAUCUUAUUAUUCUUAACUAAUCUACAAAAAUCAGCUUCAAAUCACGAUUCUAUGACCAGCGCAAUGAAGAUGUUGCAUGUGUGAGGAAUUUGCGAUUUGACUCGAGAUUCUUAUGUAAAAGUUCGCGAGUAACACGAUGGUGCCACUGGUUUCUCUGAAAUCAUCUCCCAAGCUCAAAAAAGCUCUCAAGUUGGGGCCAAAAUGGAGGGGAUAUCCCACGCUAUCCUGAGAGUCCACGUCUACAUCAAGACAAACUCUCCAUGCAUAGAUCGGGAGAAAAUACAUUAGCAGGGUUGCCGUGUUUUCAGUUUAGAGUCCCCAAAUAAAGUGGCAGGCCUAUCAAUGUAUUUGCUCCCUAUCUUUGCAUGGAGAGUUUGUCUUGAUGUAGAGGUGGACUCUCAGGAUAGCGUGGGAUAUCCCCGGUCAUUUUGGCCUCAACUUGAGAGCUUUUUUUGAGCUUGGGAGUUGAUUUCAGAGAAAACCAGUAGCACCAUCGUGUUUCUCGCGAACUUUUACAUAAGAAUCAACAGUCAAAUCGCGAAUUCCUCACACAUGCAACAUCUCUAUUAUCGUGGGCAAUAAAAGGCACGCCCGCGCUCACCAUAUAAAACGCCUUCAACAUCAUGGAGAUACUUCAAACGCUACACCAUUUGACAUACGCUCCGAUGUGCGAAUUGCCGAUGCUGCGCCUCUCGGAGUGCACACGGUGUCUUGAGUGUGAACCGUUCACCCGCCAUCCACGGAUCGACCUAUCGAGCAAAUUCUGCACGCCUGCAGUUCCUUUUUCAUUCUCGUAAUUUUGACCGUCGUAUAUCUCGGUUUAUGAGUUACUUUUCCGCGAUUUCAAUGUGUAUAUCAUGUUCUAUCUACAUUAACUAAUUGAAUCAAUAUCGGCAAUACCGAGUGCUGGUGUGUUAAAUGAUCCUAUUUUGCCACGUGAGCUUUUAUGACGUGUGUUUCAUUGCAGGUAACAAGCCGUUCGCACUUGUGUUGGCUACGAUGCCGUUCCCGGGUAAAGCGACACGUGGACCAGAUAAACGCUGCCUUGCGCCAUUACAACUUCGAUCCGCACAAAUGAUGUUCUAGGCACGACGCCGCAUCUAUCCACCCUUCGAUUGGCCAACUCCUGGUCGCGCCUUAACACCAACUGCCAAAUUGCAAAAUUGACAGUAGUCUCUUUCCCCGCUC